GACGAACGCUGGCGGCGUGAUUAACACAUGCAAGUCGAACGACGUGGCGAACGGGUGAGUAACGCGUAAUCAACCUGCCCUUCAGAGGGGGACAACAGUUGGAAACGACUGCUAAUACCGCAUACUGAAGGAGGGGAUUGCGUCCGAUUGGCUAGUUGGAGGGGUAACGGCCCACCAAGGCGAUGAUCAGUAGCCGGUCCGAGAGGAGGAACGGCCACAUUGGGACUGAGACACGGCCCUUAAUCCUACGGGAGGCAGCAGUGGGGAACAGUGGACAAUGGACCAAAGUCUGAUCCAGCAAUUCGGUGUGCACGAUGAAGUUGUUCGGAAUGUAAACUGCUUUCAGUUGGGAAGCGGUACCAACAGAAGAAGUGACGACUAAAUACGUGCCAUCAGCCGCGGUAAUAC
rnacentral:rRNA from 1 species